rnacentral:lncRNA from 1 species
AAUGCCAACGGUCCCCUCUGCCAAUCCACCGCAUGCCAGCCUGUCCUCCCCACCCCGCACCCCACAUGCCCCCAGGGGCUGGCCGGGGAAGGGUCAAGCUCUCCUUCGCCCCCGCCCGGCCUCCUGAGCCCACCAAGAGGUCUGCAGAGUAGCAGGGGGCUGCGCCCCAGCGCCAUUAACACACCUCCGAGUGCUCCCCGGAGCGCGGCGGGAGGCAAGUUUGGCCGGUCCGGCCCCGGCCCCUGGCCUCUCCCGGCAGCAUCAGCCGCAGGCGGCCGCGAGCUCCGGCCCCGCCCCACCCACCUACCUACAGGGCGGGGGCGCCAGCUCCUGGGUUCGCGGAGAAGGGGGUCAGGCGCACACAUUUCUGGGAGCGGUGGCCUCUGCCGCUGGGCGCGGGGGAGCGCAUCCUUUAGGGUGGGUGGAAGGAAGGCUUGGGGGUGGACCGUGCGCCGAGGAGGGGCGACGGGAGGAGGCAGGGGCGCGGGGUGCGCGCCCGCGGAGUCCCGGGUCCGCGCUCUGCUGGGCACAGCCGCUGCCCGGACGCCUCAGGCCUCGCCCCACGCGCGGCGGCCGCUGCGCCCGCGGUCAGCGCAUCAGCCACGACGGCUCCCGGCCAGGCCGAAGGCGGGGAGUUGCGGGUGGCGCGACGCGGUGCAAAUGCCCGCCUCUAGCUCCGCCCGGUUGGCGGCGCGCUCUGCGCCCCUCCGCGGCGGCGGCGGGGCCCGGGGAGCUCGGCGGCCUGGCGCGGAGGCUCGGGCUGCAGCUGCCGCAUGCUCCCUGCCCUCUGGACCUCGGAGCCGGGGAGGCCUGCCGCCCGGCCACCCCCGACUGCCGCAGCCUCGGCGGCCUCCGCACAGCCCAGCCCGGGCCGUCGGCUCCGCCCUGGAGAGCUGCGCGCGCGGCCUCCGCAGGCCGCGGCCCUUUGUGACGCCUCCCGAGCGCGUGCCUGCCGCCGGCCGCAGGACCUGCAAAGCGCGGGGACCGCUGGCCACAAUGAAUUCAUCCUUCUGUGCCUUCCGGCGAGGCGCUGAGUAA